rnacentral:rRNA from 1 species
CACGUAGGGGGCAAGCGUUGUCCGGAUUUAUUGGGCGUAAAGAGCUCGUAGGUGGUUCAGUAAGUCGGGUGUGAAACCUCCAGGCUCAACCUGGAGACGCCACCCGAUACUGCUGUGACUAGAGUCCAGUAGGGGAGCAUGGAAUUCCUGGUGUAGCGGUGAAAUGCGCAGAUAUCAGGAGGAACACCAGUGGCGAAGGCGGUGCUCUGGGCUGGAACUGACACUGAGGAGCGAAAGCGUGGGGAGCGAACAGGAUUAGAAACCCUGUAGUCC